AUGCCGCCGCGCAAGCGCCCGCUGGAACCUUCCCCGGGCAUGCCAGCCCAACCGGACGUCAAGCCAAACAUAUCUCCGGCUUCAAAAUCCACCGAAGCCCCCGCCCCCGCCCCCGCCCCCGCCCCCGCCUCGGAGGUUCAGCCCCCUGCCGCCAUCCUCAACAACCUCAAGGGGCCGGAGCGGGAGGUCUACGAGCGCAUCUUCGCGGCGGGCAACAAGGGCAUGUCGAGCCAGGACCUCCGCUUCGCGUUGAAGCUGACUGCGCCAACCCUCAACAAGCUCACCCGCGCCCUCGUCCAGCGGGGCAUCCUCAAGGAGGUCACGGACGUCCGCCCCCGCGGGAAGAAGGUCUUCAUGGACUUCAGCAUGGAGCCCUCUCCCGAGAUCACCGGCGGAACCUGGUACCACAACGGCCAGCUCCACACCGACACCGUGGCGGCCGUGCGCCGCAGGGAAGACCCCAGCGGAGGGUACGCGAUCGACCAGAUCAGGGACGUCCUGCAGACCAUGGCGCUUGACAGGGUGCUGGAGGAGUGCAGGAGCACCGGGGAGGGGGAGUUCAGCGCUGUCAGAGCCGGGAGGGUGUGCUACCGGCGGGGCGGCGCGCCGCAGGGCGGCAUGAUGGAUGGGAUUCCGUGCGGGGUUUGUCCCAGGAUCGAUGAGUGCUCGCCGGAUGGGGUCAUCUCCCCGACCACUUGCGUCUACUACAAGAAGUGGCUGCAGAUGGACUUCUAG
rnacentral:rRNA from 1 species